rnacentral:rRNA from 1 species
GUGAGGAAUAUUGGUCAAUGGCCGGGAGGCUGAACCAGCCAAGUCGCGUGAGGGAAGACGGCCCUACGGGUUGUAAACCUCUUUUGUCAGGGAGCAAGAGGCGGGUCGAGACCUGCUGUGAGAGUACCUGAAGAAAAAGCAUCGGCUAACUCCGUGCCAGCAGCCGCGGUAAUACGGAGGAUGCGAGCGUUAUCCGGAUUUAUUGGGUUUAAAGGGUGCGCAGGCGGAGGCACAAGUCAGCGGUAAAAUCGCGGGGCUCAACCCCGCUCCGCCGUUGAAACUGUGUCCCUUGAGUGCGCGAAGGGUAGGCGGAAUGCGUGGUGUAGCGGUGAAAUGCAUAGAUAUCACGCAGAACUCCGAUCGCGAAGGCAGCCUACCGGCGCGCAACUGACGCUCAUGCACGAAAGCGUGGGUAUCGAACAGG